GAUGAACGCUGGCGGCGUGCCUAAUACAUGCAAGUCGAGCGAACGGACGAGAAGCUUGCUUCUCUGAUGUUAGCGGCGGACGGGUGAGUAACACGUGGAUAACCUACCUAUAAGACUGGGAUAACUUCGGGAAACCGGAGCUAAUACCGGAUGAUAUUUUGAACCGCAUGGUUCAAAAGUGAAAGACGGUCUUGCUGUCACUUAUAGAUGGAUCCGCGCUGCAUUAGCUAGUUGGUAAGGUAAUGGCUUACCAAGGCAACGAUGCAUAGCCGACCUGAGAGGGUGAUCGGCCACACUGGAACUGAGACAAGGCCCAGACUCCUACGGGAGGCAGCAGUAGGGAAUCUGCCGCAAUGGGCGAAAGCCUGACGGAGCAACGCCGCGUGAGUGAUGAAGGUCUUCGGAUCGUAAAACUCUGUUAUUAGGGAAGAACAUAUGUGUAAGUAACUGUGCACAUCUUGACGGUACCUAAUCAGAAAGCCACGGCUAACUACGUG
rnacentral:rRNA from 1 species